rnacentral:rRNA from 1 species
GGAAUAUUGGACAAUGGGCGCAAGCCUGAUCCAGCCAUGCCGCGUGAGUGAUGAAGGCCCUAGGGUUGUAAAGCUCUUUCAGCGAGGAGGAUAAUGACGUUACUCGCAGAAGAAGCCCCGGCUAACUUCGUGCCAGCAGCCGCGGUAAUACGAAGGGGGCUAGCGUUGUUCGGAAUCACUGGGCGUAAAGCGCACGUAGGCGGACUUUUAAGUCAGGGGUGAAAUCCCGGGGCUCAACCCCGGAACUGCCUUUGAUACUGGAAGUCUUGAGUCCGAGAGAGGUGAGUGGAAUUCCGAGUGUAGAGGUGAAAUUCGUAGAUAUUCGGAAGAACACCAGUGGCGAAGGCGGCUCACUGGCUCGGUACUGACGCUGCAGCGCGAAAGCGUGGGGAUCAAAC